CAUUGCCCGAGGCCGGCAGGGCCGGCCAGCUGCUCCGAGUGCGGAGCCCGCCAAGCCCACGCCCACCCGGAACUCCAGCUGGUCCGCAAGCGCCGCGCGCAGCCCCGGUUCCCGCCAGCGCCUCUCCCUCCACACCUCCCUGCAAGCUGAGGGAGCCGGCUCCGGCCUAGGCCAGCCCAGAAAGGGGCUCCCAUAGUGCAGCGGAGGGCUGAAGGGCUCCUCAAGUGCCACCAAAGUGGGAGCCCAGGCAGAGGAGGCGCCGAGAGCGAGCGAGGGCUGUGAGGACUGCCAGCACGCUGUCACCUUUCAAUAACAACAGCUUUCUAAGCUGCGGAUGAGACAACAUGCAGCACAACUUGUAACAGUUUCACCAGCUGACUAUGGAAAGGGCAGCUAUCCGUUCAUUUCUGUCCAGCACUAAAUUAUUUUGUCUGAUUCCGAAGAGAAAACCAAUGCUUUUAUGUGAUGAUUUCCUGCCCCAGCUGAUUUUCAGAAGUAAUGCCCAUGACAUUGUAAAGUGACAAGAGCUAGUUUCAGAGCAGCAUGAAUAACAGGAUCUCAGUUCCAGCAAAGCAGUUUACCCUCUGAGGCCCUUGCUGUCAGCUAGACGCUCAUACGUCCCGGGCUGGCUGUCGGGCUUGACAGCCUUCUAUUGUUCAUUCUCUACUUGCACCUCAGCAGUUACUAUCCCUGUAAUUAUUUCAUCCUGGAAUUCACAGCCAGAAAGGAGUUUGCCUGCAGACUGCAAGCUUCUUGCAGGCCGAACUUAGACUUCAUUCUUCAUAACCUUGGCACCAAGCACAGUGCACAGUAUGUGGGAAGUCAGCUGCCAUGUUUUGAGCUGCCCUCUGGAAAGACCCUCGUGGUGAGGAACUGGUGGCUCUGGCCAACAUCCAGCGAGGACCUGAGAUCUGCCAGCUGCCACAUGAGUGAGCUGGGAAGUGGAUCUUCUCCUAGCCUUGAGAUAACUGCAAUUCUGGUCAAUUUGAUCAUUGCUCUGCAGGACACCCAGAGGUGUCAGCUGAGUCACAAAUGGAUUUCUGACCCACAGAAACUGAGGCAAGAGACAGCAGUGGAAUCCAGGAGAAGCACUCAAGGGACCUCAGCUAUACUUGUGUUUUAUUUAUUUUUAUUGAAGAAAAGAUCUGAUCCAAAAUGGAAAAGUGAUGAGACUUGUUUUAGGAUAGUUUUUGAGCAUUGAUCUACUCAUACUCUAUCUAAAUGUAUGGACCCCUGCUUUACUGCUGGUUCAUGUCCCCGGAUGUCUGCUUGUGCUGUUUCUUCUGCCUGGCAUGCUCUCCCCUGAGACUCCCACCCUUCCACUUGGACAAUCGAACUCGACAGUUAAAGAACCAACUCAGGUAUUUCUUGAACAAACUCCAGUUGCCAGUAGAACGGGUGAGUCUCCACUCUGUUCUAAUAAUAAUGAUGAUGCAAUGACAAAGUUUAUUAAAUAUUUGUAUAUGCCAAACACUGGUGUAAGUACUUUAUAUUACUUAGCUCAUUUAGGCUUCACAGUAGCCCUAGAGGAGGGCACUAUUAUUAAAAGUGUCAGCGCGUGACAUCGGACUGUCUAUCUAUGACUUAUUUACUAUAUUCCAUCGGACUGUCUAUCUAUGACUUAUUUACUAUAUUCAUACUCAUCAUCAUCUCUCCAAAGCAGGGUGUCUCCAAC
rnacentral:lncRNA from 1 species